rnacentral:rRNA from 1 species
UACAGAGGGGGCAAGCGUUGCUCGGAAUUACUGGGCGUAAAGGGUGCGUAGGCGGGUCUUUAAGUCAGGGGUGAAAUCCUGGAGCUCAACUCCAGAACUGCCUUUGAUACUGAAGAUCUUGAGUUCGGGAGAGGUGAGUGGAACUGCGAGUGUAGAGGUGAAAUUCGUAGAUAUUCGCAAGAACACCAGUGGCGAAGGCGGCUCACUGGCCCGAUACUGACGCUGAGGCACGAAAGCGUGGGGAGCAAACAGG